AAUAAACUGGUCUAAAGAUUUCGUUUCCUCGACAGAAAAAUCGAGUGAAAGAUUUCCGUGAAUCGAUGGUCAAGUACCUAGAGGCCAUGAUGGAAAGCCAGCAACAGCUGAUCAAAUACUGGGAAGGUUUCCUACCGGAGGCCAAAGCCAUUGCGUAGAAAACUAAUUUCUUUCAAUUGGAAUAAAAACUUAGUACGUAUAUAUGUUUUCUUAAAGCACUUGAUUUUUCCGUUAAUUGGAAUCCUACAAUGAAACAGAGACGUUGUAAUAAUUUAUCAACGUUUAUUUCUGAUUUCAAGAAGUUAUUUUAGCUUAAAUGUACGUUUAUUAGUCUCUACGCAAAAUUGAAAACUUUGUCACGUGUCGGAAUUUGAAGCGUUGCAAGACCCAAACAUUUCCGUAAUGAAAAUGUCAUGUGCCAGAUAGGGCAUUUGUAUUGCUCUACAUAGUAAAUAAGCUGGUAAAUCAAGAUAUUGUUGAGUGCUUGUGAAAACCAACUGCUGUUAAACAUGUUCUGAUCUUCACUCUCCGGUUUACCUUUCAUGUGUUCGUAUUGAUUAGAAAUCAAAGGUGGUUUGUCACCAAUCCAGCGAGAGACCGGAAUAACAAAGUCGUGGCGGCCAUUUUGGUGGUGCAAACAAAAACAGCUAAUUAGAAAUCUUUUGUUAAUGACCAUCAACAUGACGGCGAUGACGUCACACGAAAAGAAAGAAUGGCACAGUGUCAGUGAACAAAAUUCAUUUUGAAACUGAAGAGUGCAACUCCCCUGUCCCAAGUCCCUACUUAUUAACAUUUGACCAGAUUAAGUAUGUUUAUCAAGCAGAUAAUGGCAUUCCAUAUUAAAACCGCUCUUUUCACAUUAAACGGGACUGGAGAUAAAAUUUCACAGACAGAGUAUAGUUAGGUUAUAUUAACAGUCGAUCAAGGAACUGAAGAAAGGUAAAGAGAACUAAAUGUUUUUAUAGUAGCAAGGCAUGUUUGUGGCUAGAGAUAUGAGCAAAAUGAAAUAAAGUUUGAUCGUAAUUUUAA